rnacentral:ncRNA from 2 species
AGAGGUAGAGCUACUGAUUGGAUGCGGGGGCUUCACCGCCUACCAAUUCCUGACAAACUCCGAAUGCUAUAUAAUGAUUACCAGCAGUGAGGGCAUGGGUGCUAAGGUCCAUGUCCAAGAGGGAAAGAACCCAGACCAUCAGCUAAGGUCCCCAAAUGUAUGCUAAGUUGAAAAAACGAGGUUUGUCUGCAUAGACAGCUAGGAUGUUGGCUUGGAAGCAGCCAUUCAUUUAAAGAGUGCGUAACAGCUCACUAGUCGAGCGGAUCGAGCAUGGAUAAUAAUCGGGCAUAAGUAUACUACCGAAGCUAUGGACUUGAAAAAGUGGUAGGGGAGCAUUCUAUAGGCAUCGAAGGUGAUAUGUGAGUAUUGCUGGAGCGUAUAGAAAAGAAAAUGUAGGCAUAAGUAACGAUAAUGCGGGCGAGAAACCCGCACGCCGAAAGACCAAGGAUUCCUCAGCUAUGCUAAUCAGCUGAGGGUUAGUCGGGGCCUAACGCGAACCCGAACGGGGUAGUGGAUGGACAACAGGUUAAUAUUCCUGUACCUGCUUACAAUAAAAGUGACGGAGGCGUAUAUUUGGUGCGUGCAGACGGAAUUGCACGUUGAAGAGAGUGGUAACACCUCGAUAGUACACUAAGACUACGGUUGCGGUGAUAAUCCAGAGAAGCGACUUCCAAGAAAAGCGUGUAAAGCAGCCCGUACCGUAAACCGACACAGGUGGUUGGGAUGAGUAUUCUAAGGCGCUCGAGAGAUUCAUGGCUAAGGAACUAGGCAAAAUAGACCUGUAACUUCGGGAGAAAGGUCGCCCACAGUAAUGUGGGCCGCAGUGAAAAGGUCCAGGCGACUGUUUAUCAAAAACACAGGGCUCUGCAAAAUCGAAAGAUGAAGUAUAGGGCCUGACACCUGCCCGGUGCCGGA